rnacentral:rRNA from 1 species
GAAACCGGAGCUAAUACCGGAUAAUAUAUUGAACCGCAUGGUUCAAUAGUGAAAGACGGUUUUGCUGUCACUUAUAGAUGGAUCCGCGUCGCAUUAGCUAGUUGGUAAGGUAACGGCUUACCAAGGCAACGAUGCGUAGCGACCUGAGGGGGUGAUCGGCCACACUGGAACUGAGACACGGUCCAG